rnacentral:siRNA from 1 species
AGCCACUGUAAAUAAGUCUCA